rnacentral:ncRNA from 1 species
AGCGAGGGUCAUCAGCCCGCGUCGAUCACGUCACUGCCUUUUGUACACACCGCCCGUCGUUACUACCGAUCGAACGGUCAGGUGAGGUCUUCGGAUGUGGCCGACGAGUCCGCUUACGCGCAGCGGCGUUCCACGCUGUCGUCGGCACGUUCUCUGAUGGCCCGGAGAAGACGACCGAACUCGAUCGCUUAGAGGAAGUAAAAGUUGUAAUUAUGACUUGCAUUUCAAUA